rnacentral:rRNA from 1 species
UACGGAGGGGGCUAGCGUUUGUUUCGGAAUUACUGGGCGUAAAGCGCGCGUAGGCGGACCUGCAAGUCGGGGGGUGAAAGCCCGAGGCUCAACCUCGGAACUGCCUUCGAUACUGCGGGUCUCGAGUCCGGGAGAGGUGAGUGGAAUUCCUAGUGUAGAGGUGAAAUUCGUAGAUAUCUGGAGGAACACCGGUGGCGAAGGCGGCAUCCUGGACCGAUACUACGCUGAGGAGCGAAAAGCCAGGGGGAGCAAACGG